rnacentral:lncRNA from 1 species
CAUCGAUAAGUCGUGCGGCGCCCCGGUGGCCUGCUAAAUCAGCAUCCCCAGCAACAGCAAACCACAACAGCAACAGUUGCAGAAGGAGCCGCGUCGCAGUUGGAGCCAUGGAGGAUGGCGCACUCAAGCGACGGACAGCAGUAGCCGUUUCGGCCCCUGAUAACGAUGGAUGGAUGACUGAGACAUGGACUGGACUGGACUGGCUCUGGGUGCGUCUCUGUCUAAAUGGAACACUGUACUCCGAGGGGUAUGGGUGGGGUAUCGCCAUGUAUCCUCCUCAUUCCAUGUGCAUAAUGCAUUCAUUUGACAGCUCUGACCGGUGCGAAGCGACGCGACCACCGAUCGGGAUGGCUGGAUCAGCAUCUGGUUGGACGGCUUCUAAUGCCUCUUUCAAAUGUGCCGCACUUCCUACGGGAUCUACUUGGCACCGCACCACUCUUCUCCUGCCACUUCGCUAUUAAUUAGAAUGUAUGGUCGCUGCUUAUGUGCCCCUGCCCUCUGCCCAUGCCACUUCUCCGUUACCGUUCAUUUUUGGCAUUUCAGAGUUAACGGCACGCGACAUUUUAAAUAUGUAUGAUGUGCCCUCCAUCCAUCGCGCUGGGCUCUGCUCCUGUUUUGGGGUUCUCGGACUGCGUGAGUAAUUUCGGUGGCAUUCCACAAAUAUUAUUGCUCAAAUAUUUGAAACUUGAUUUGCAUUUUUCAGCACUCGCCUCGUUUGCACCCAACCAGCGCAGGGGCAGAGGACGGACGCGAACACGACUGUCCGCCCUGGGGCAGCUGUUGAAAUUGAUGCCUGGCCGCCUGGCGUUCGGCACUUGUGUCGAAUAUGCAGCACGGAUGGGGAAUGGGAUGCGGAUACACGAGUCGUCCUGGGCAUGAACCAAGAUAAUGAACGCCAUAGCGGGACAGCGGCCGAAUCUGGGAUACUCUAGCUAAAUCAAACUCACGGAGGUUCCGAAUUCGAACAAACUAUGUCUACGAUUGGAUAAUUAGAAGAACAAAAAUUAAAUACACAGCACUACAGAUACCUUUUACUUUAAAAUAAGAGAAAUUAAG